CCUACGGGAGACAGCAGUAGGGAAUUUUCGGCAAUGGGGGGAACCCUGACCGAGCAACGCCGCGUGAACGAAGAAGGUAUUCGUAUUGUAAAGUUCUGUUAACAGGGAAGAAAGAUAAAUUUGUCGCUAUCUGAAGAAUAAGCUGCGGCUAACUACGUGCCAGCAGCUGCGGUAAUACGUAGGGCGCAGGCGUUAUCCGGAUUGAUUGGGGGAAAAGGGUGUGUAGAUGGCAUAGUAAGUCUUUUGUAAAAAUGCUGGGCUAAACCCAGUCGGGCAAAAGAUACUGGAAAGCUAGAGUACGACAGAGGAAAGUGGAACUACAUGUGUAGCGGUGAAAUGCGUAGAUAUAUGGAAGAACACCAGUGGCGAAGGCGGCUUGCUGGGUCGAUACUGACAUUGAGGCACGAAAGCGUGGGGAGCAAACAGGAUUAGAUACCCCUGUAGUC
rnacentral:rRNA from 1 species